rnacentral:rRNA from 1 species
UACGAAGGGGGCUAGCGUUGCUCGGAAUCACUGGGCGUAAAGGGUGCGUAGGCGGGUCUUUAAGUCAGGGGUGAAAUCCUGGAGCUCAACUCCAGAACUGCCUUUGAUACUGAGGAUCUUGAGUUCGGGAGAGGUGAGUGGAACUGCGAGUGUAGAGGUGAAAUUCGUAGAUAUUCGCAAGAACACCAGUGGCGAAGGCGGCUCACUGGCCCGUUACUGACGCUGAGGCGCGAAAGCGUGGGGAGCAAACAGG